rnacentral:rRNA from 1 species
UUUCCAGACUCCUACGGGAGGCAGCAGUGGGGAAUAUUGCACAAUGGGGGGAACCCUGAUGCAGCGACGCCGCGUGGGUGAAGGAGUCCUUCGGUACGUAAAGCCCUAUCAGCAGGAAAGAAAAUGACGGUACCUGACUAAGAAGCCCCGGCUAACUACGUGCCAGCAGCCGCGGUAAUACGUAGGGGGCAAGCGUUAUCCGGAUUUACUGGGUGUAAAGGGAGCGUAGACGGCAGUGCAAGUCCGGAGUGAAAGCCCGGGGCUCAACCCUGGGACUGCUCUGGAAACUGUAAAGCUGGAGUGCGGGAGGGGCAGGCGGAAUUCCUGGUGUAGCGGUGAAAUGCGUAGAUAUUAGGAGGAACACCAGUGGCGAAGGCGGCCUGCUGGACGACAACUGACGGUGAGGCGCGAAAGCGUGGGGAGCAAACAGGAUUAGAUACCCCCGUAAG